AGAGUUUGAUCAUGGCUCAGGACGAACGCUGGCGGCGUGCCUAACACAUGCAAGUCGAACGGACUUAAGUUUUCGGAUUUAAGUUAGUGGCGGACGGGUGAGUAACGCGUGAGUAACCUGCCUCUCAGAGGGAGAUAACAGCUUGAAAAGGCUGCUAAUACCGCAUAAUGUAUUUAAGCCGCAUGGAUUGAAUACCAAAGAUUUAUUGCUGAGAGAUGGACUCGCGUCCGAUUAGAUAGUUGGUGAGAUAACGGCCCACCAAGUCGACGAUCGGUAGCCGGACUGAGAGGUUGAACGGCCACAUUGGGACUGAGACACGGCCCAGACUCCUACGGGAGGCAGCAGUGGGGGAUAUUGCACAAUGGAGGAAACUCUGAUGCAGCAACGCCGCGUGAGGGAAGAAGGUUUUCGGAUUGUAAACCUCUGUCCUUGGUGAAGAUAAUGACGGUAGCCAAGGAGGAAGCUCCGGCUAACUACGUGCCAGCAGCCGCGGUAAUACGUAGGGAGCAAGCGUUGUCCGGAUUUACUGGGUGUAAAGGGUGCGUAGGCGGCAGAGCAAGUCAGGCGUGAAAACUAUGGGCUUAACCCAUAGCCUGCGUUUGAAACUGUUCAGCUUGAGUGAAGUAGAGGCAGAUGGAAUUCCCGGUGUAGCGGUGGAAUGCGUAGAGAUCGGGAGGAACACCAGUGGCGAAGGCGGUCUGCUGGGCUUUAACUGACGCUGAGGCACGAAAGUGUGGGGAGCAAACAGGAUUAGAUACCCUGCUAGUCCACACCGUAAACGAUGAUUACUAGGUGUUGGAGGAUUGACCCCUUCAGUGCCGCAGUUAACACAAUAAGUAAUCCACCUGGGGAGUACGACCGCAAGGUUGAAACUCAAAGGAAUUGACGGGGGCCCGCACAAGCAGUGGAGUAUGUGGUUUAAUUCGACGCAACGCGAAGAACCUUACCAAGUCUUGACAUCCUGCGACGAUGCUGGAAACAGUAUUUUCCUUCGGGACGCAGAGACAGGUGGUGCAUGGUUGUCGUCAGCUCGUGUCGUGAGAUGUUGGGUUAAGUCCCGCAACGAGCGCAACCCUUAUGGUCAGUUACUACGCAAGAGGACUCAGGCCAGACUGCCGUUGACAAAACGGAGGAAGGUGGGGAUGACGUCAAAUCAUCAUGCCCUUUAUGACUUGGGCUACACACGUACUACAAUGGCGUUAAACAAAGAGAAGCAAGACCGCGAGGUGGAGCAAAGCUCAGAAACAACGUCCCAGUUCGGACUGCAGGCUGCAACUCGCCUGCACGAAGUCGGAAUUGCUAGUAAUCGUGGAUCAGCAUGCCACGGUGAAUACGUUCCCGGGCCUUGUACACACCGCCCGUCACACCAUGAGAGCCGGGGGGACCCGAAGUCGGUAGUCUAACCGCAAGGAGGACGCCGCCGAAGGUAAAACUGGUGAUUGGGGUGAAGUCGUAACAAGGUA
rnacentral:rRNA from 1 species